GGGACUCGGAGGGUUUUCCAAGUGCCUCUCAAGAAUGCCUAAAAGUGUGUUUUUGAAUCCCCGGUUUUCUUUGUUACUGCAGUGUAAGUACAGUGUACAUCCCAAGGACACACAUUUAAUGAGAACAAAAAUUGAUGUCAUUAAGAGAAGAGCUCUGUGUAAAGGUUCAGGAAAAUAUUCGAAUUUUAAAGUUAAAUAUAUUAAUUUUUUCUUUACAUAUAGUUUAUAUAUAGUUACAUGUAAAUUAGAAUAUUUACAUUUACGUUCUUUCUCCCUAUUAAAUUGCACUGAUAUUUAAACAUUACACAGAACACCCAAUCACCAAAUCUGGUGAGUAUGAGCACAAUCUUCCUUCAGUGUUUCUCGAAGAACAUGACUGACUCUCCUCGCGAUUCAAACCGAAUCACGGUCUGAUAUUAUACUUACGCUGUUAAACACACUAUUGCAGUUGUGAGACUACAUCUUUCAAAAUUUAAUGAUUCAUAUUUAACAAAAAUUAAAAAUGAAUAAGGUAAAUCUGUUGGCUAAUUUGUUGACUGACUACAUGUAAUCUCCAUAAAUACUUUAAUAAAUGAUACAUGUACC
rnacentral:sRNA from 1 species